rnacentral:rRNA from 1 species
UACGAGUGCUCCAAGCGUUAUCCGGAAUCAUUGGGCGUAAAGGGUGUGUAGGUGGUUGUGUUAGUCUUCUGUUAAAUUCUUCGGCUUAACCGGGGGCAUGCAGGGGAAACGGCACGACUAGAGGAUGCGAGAGGUGAAUGGAACUCAUGGAGUAGGGGUGAAAUCCGUUGAUAUCAUGGGGAACACCAAAUGCGAAGGCAAUUCACUGGCGCGAUACUGACGCUGAGGCACGAAAGCGUGGGGAGCAAACAGG